rnacentral:lncRNA from 1 species
UUUAUUUUGUCAUUGCCUGGAGGAAACAUGUUCCAAAUGCUAUCAUCAACAGGUUACAAUCGCGAAGGCUAGUGACCAAUUUCUUCUCCUGUUCAUUUAAGAAUGCUCUAUGACUACUAAACUAAUAAUAAUAACAACAAUAACAUGGUCAUUUUAGAAGCUUAUAUGAUGACUUUUGAUUUUUUUAUUUUAAUUGGAAACCUAAAUUAAGGACUAAUAUAACAAUGUUUUUAAAAAGUAUUUUUAAAAAGUGCUAUGAAAAAGUGCUAUUUUUAAAAGUACUUUUAAAAAUUUGAGCGCUUAACAUUGUUAUAAAAAGUACUUUUGAGAAAUAAAAUGUCCAUUUUAGACACAGUAUUAUCAAGUAACAAAUAUGCAUUUAAAUAAUGUUCAAAUUAGUUAAUAUUGCUAUAUUUUAAUAAGAAUAUAAAAAAUAAUUUAUUAUAACUUGUUAAUAUUUUAAUAUAUGAAAUAUAAUCAAUUUAAAAAAGGUGGAAGUCUGCUUAAUAGCACGAGUUAGGGUUUUCUUUGGCUGCUUAAUAGCACGAAUAUUUCGUUUGGUUUUCUUGGGGGUUCUAGGGUUUUGCUGGGUUUUCUUAGUUUUUACGUGCGCUUUUAGGGAUUACUAUUUCAUCAGGUUUUUCAAGGUUCAUUAUGGGUGAUUCCAAUAUGGUGGAUGAUGGGCUGGCAAAUCUCAACAUUAUGGACAAUGAGGAAGAGCCCUUGGUGGUCGUAGGGGCCAACAUUGCUACAGGUCAAUUAUAUGAUUUGUGUUUGGUUGGGCGAGUUCUUACGGAUAGUGUGGUUAAUUUUCCUUCUUUAAAAAAUACAUUGGCUAAUUUAUGGCAUCCGUUGAGGGGCGUGGCUAUUUCGGAAUUAGAGGGUAAGAGGAUUUUAUUCAAGUUUUACAGUGAAGUCGAUUUAAAUCGAGUCAUGGACGGCAUGCCCUGGUUUUUUAACCAGCAUCUCAUUAUUCUCCAUAGAUUAAUAGAGGGUGAGGAUCCAAUCACAUUGUCUUUUUGGGAAACGGUGUUUUAGGUGCAAAUUCACAAUCUUCCAGUUGGAGUUGUAACCGAGGGAAUGGCUAGACAGUUUGGGGAUUUUAUCGGUAAAUUCUUAGAAUAUGAUACUUCAAUGGUACUCAGAGGAGUCAGUAGAUUUAUGCGAAUUAAAGUAUUAUUGGAUACUCGUUCUCCGCUUAAAAGGAAGAAGCUGAUUGAUAUUGGUCAGAGUAAAUCAUCUUAUGUUUCUUUCCAGCAUGAAAGGUUGUCAUUAUUUUGUUUUCUUUAUGGUCGGCUAGGGUAUGGUGAAAGUUUUUGCCAAGUCCAAUUAACGUUGGGGAAUCAACAAGUGGAAUUUGGGUGAGACCUGUCGCUCAGGGCUGCACCAAGAAAGGGAGGUCAACUGAAGAGCAAAUGGCUACGAGAGGAACCAAAUUUUGAUCGAUGGUCCAAUAUGGAGAUUGAUGGGGAAAAUAGAAAGUUUGGUGCGGAUAUGACAAAUAACUGUGAUCGCUUAGGAGGGGAAGGACAGCUGUGACAUUUUGUAAGGCAGAACCGAAAUAGGAUAGGUGUAAGGGUCCUUGGAACUAUAGAGGCAGUGGAGGGAACUGAAAAUGACAUUGAGUUGGAGAAGAUACAGGUGGAUUUGGUUGAAGAAAAAAAGAGGCAAAGAGUUAAUUCUGCAGUGAGAAAUUUCUGGUAGAACAAAGGAGUGAUGGAGAUGCGGUUGGAAAAUAAUGCAUCGGCGGCCAAUGUCACAUUGGCUGACCGGAGGUAAUGAAAAUCCUUAGUUAGAAUGUUCGUGGUUUGGGGAAACCACGAACAGUUAGAUGUCUCAAGAACAAAGUGAGACACAUUCAUCCCCAAAUCUUAUUUCUUAUGGAAACAAAAGCUAACAAUAAAAGGAUGGAGAAAAUAAGGAGGCAAUGUGGUUUUUCGAACGGCAUUGAUGUUGAUGCGGUGGGAACAAUGGGAGGUUUGUCGCUGGGAUGGAGGGAGGGGCUCAAUGUAACGUUAAAGAGUUUCACAAAAUCACAUAUUGACGUAGAAGUAGAAGAAGAGAGUGUGCGAGUAUAGAGAUUCACAGGAUUUUAUGGGGCACAAUUAGAGCAUGAGAGGAAGGAGUUGUGGGAGUUAUUAAGGAUGCUACAGAAUGGGAACAAUAAACCUUGGUUGGUCUCUGGUGAUUUUAAUGAGAUUCUCUUUUAGUUUGAAAAACAAGGAGGUAGAGUUCGAGAGGAAAGACAGAUGGUUGCGUUUAGAGCAACACUAGAGGAUUGUGGGUUGUCUGAUCUGGGGUUUUUUGGCCAGUGGUAUACAUGGGAAAGAGAGAGGCUGGCUAGCAACAAUAUUAGAGAAAGGCUUGAUAGAGGUGUUGCCAAUGCGGAGUGGUGGGAUUGGUUUUCUAAUUUUUUCCGUUUGCCAUUUACAACAUAGUUUUUCAGAUCAUUGCCCGUUAGUUGUAAGCACAGGAGAGGAUGGUGAGAUGCAAGGCAUGGGGCGACACGAGAGAUUUUGGUUUAAUGCUGAUUGGAUUAUAAAUCCAGGUUUUGAGGAGCAAGUCCAGCGUAAAUAGACCUCUAAUAAUCAUGAUGUGUUGGUGAAACUGAAUGAGAUGGGUUUCGAAGUUAAAUGUUGGGCACAAAUGGAGAAAAAAUUAAGGGGACGGAGAAUAGAAGAACUAAACGCCAGACUAUUUGAUUUGGGGAAGGGCAAAAUUUGUGAUUGCGAUCUUGGAUAAAAUGAUUGAAAUAAAGUUUCAGUUGAAUCUCGAGGCCGACAAGGAAGAGUUGUUUUGAGAACAAAGAGCAAGAACUAAUUAGCUUCGAAUGGGAGAUAGAAACACAACAUUUUUUCACAGAAGUGCAACUGGUCGUAAGAGGAAAAAUAUGGUGAAGGGACUUGAGAGUGAUGAUGGAAACUUGGUUACCGAUUUUGAUGGGGUGUCUAAAAUAGCUAGGAUUACUUCAAAGAGCUUUUUUUUGCCAAAGAAUCUGGUGAUUGUGAGAGAUUAUUUGCGUCAUUCGCACCAUGCAUUUCGGAGGAGCUUAAUAGCUAAUUGAUAGUAGAGUUUAAAGAUGAAGAGGUUAUGGUGGCUGUAAAAUCUAUAGCCCCCCUUAAUGCGUCAGGUGAGGACAGAUAUCCUGCGCUUUUUUAUCAAAAAUAUUAGCAUAUCAUUGGGGAGGAGGUGACUAGGUACUAUUUAGAUGUUCUACAUGGCCGAAGGAAUAUAGAGGAGAUUAACAGAACAUGUAUUGUUCUUAUUCCUAAAGUCAAUUCACCAAAAGUGAUGAGCCAAUUUUGACCUAUAAGUCUAUGCAAUGCGCUUUAUAAAAUUAUUUCAAAAGUUCUUGUUAACUGCUUCCGCAAGGCUCUGAGUUGGUGUACCAAAGAUAAUCAAGGAGCAUUCAUAGCAGGGAGACAAAUUACGGACAAUAUAUUUGUGGCGUAUGAAAUUCUGCACUCAUUCAAGAAGAGAAGAGGAUCCUCGAAGAAAGGUUUUGCUUUAAAGUUUGAUAUGAGCAAAGCCUAUGAUAGAAUAAAAUGAGGAUUUUUAGAGAACAUGAUGCGUCGGUUAGGAUUUUGUGAAGAUUGGAUCAUGCUUAUUAUGAGGUGUAUUUCUAGCGUCGCAUAUUCAGUCGUGCUGAAUGGAAGAAUGGGGGAGGAAUUUUGCCCUCAAUGAGGUCUGAGACAGGGUGAUCCACUCAGCCCGUAUUUAUUCCUUAUUUGUGCGGAAGGGUUUUCACGACUAAUAGCGUUAGCUAAAAGGGAAGGAAGCAUUGUUGGAACUAAGAUAGGAAGGGGUAAUGUUACAGUUUCACACUUGUUUUUUGCAGAUGAUAGCAUCCUUUUUGGUAAUGCUUCGGUUGAAGGGGCAAAUAAUAUGAAGGUUGUCAUCAAUGAAUAUGAAAAGAUGUCAGGUUAGAUGGUGAACUUUGAUAAGUCCCUAAUUUAUUUUAGUGGUAAUGUAGAUCCGGAGAUGCAGUCACAAGUGGGAUGAGUUUUGGGUGUGAGAAUAUAUAAUAAUCCGGAACGAUAUUUAGGGCUGUUGACUAUAGUUGGGAGAAGGAAAAAACAUGUGUUUGUGCAUAUCAAAGAACGCUUUAUAAGCGUGAUGAGCAAUUGGAGUUUGCGAUUUUUGUCUGCCGGAGGAAAAGAGGUAUUUUUGAAAUCUAUUUUACAAGCCAUUCUGAUUUAUGCAAUGCAGUGUUUUACACUGCCAACUUCGCUCUGUCGAGAACUUGAGAGUCUUAUGAGUAAAUUCUGGUGGAGGAAUCCCAAAACCAAUAAAGGCAUAUAUUGGUGCAAGUGGAGUGAUUUGUGUAUCCCCAAAGCGAAAGGAAGUCUCGGUUUUAAGGAUUUAGAAAAUUUUAAUCUAGCCAUGUUAGCGAAGCAGGGUUGGAAAAUCCUUAUUCAACCUCAAUGUCUAUUUGCUCGAGUCAUGAAAGUAAAAUAUUUUCCAAGAGGGGAUUUUAUAAGUGCUAGGUUAGGGUCUUACCCUUCGUUUACCUGGCGAAGUAUAUGGAGUGCUAGACAAGUCCUUGAGGAGGGUCUGGGGUGGAGAGUUAGGAAUGGGGAAUUAACGUUCGGAAUGAUAACUGGGUGCCGAGGCCUGGAAGUGGAAGAGUGCACUGUCAAAACAUAGAUAUUAGAUAUACUAAUGUCUCUGAUUUAAUUGAUAAGGAUACCAAUACCUGGAAGCAAGACGUUAUCAGAUCCUUAUUUGGAGAGGAGCAGUUAAUGAGCAUUCUUUCAAUCCCCUUAGUGAGUAGUCGACCUCAUGACCAGCGGAUUUGGCGAGGAGAUAAUACAGGGCAGUAUACAGUUAAAAGUGGCUACAAAUGGAUCAAUACAAGCGGAAGUUCUAGACUACAUACAGACGGUCCUACCACUUUCUAUACAAAGCUAUGGGGUCUUAAUAUACCAAGCAAAAUUCGAAUCCUUAUGUGGUGAAUAGCCAAUGAUUUUUUGCCCACGUUAUAUAACCUAGGACUUCGAAGGUUGGGAACUAAUGCACUAUGCCCGGUGUGUCAAGCUGAAGAGGAAAGGGUGAGCCAUCUAUUUCGGGAUUGUUCUUUCACACAGCAGAUCUUGAGAAGGUUAAGAGUGACAGACGCAACCUGCAGUAGCAUCCCCAAUUGGAAACAGUGGCUAGAAAGAACAGUCGACAACCAAAAUGCAGAAAGUAAUACGAUUAGAUCGAUCAGUUACUGGGCUAUAUGGUAUAACCGUAAUAAGCUUUACCAUGAAGGAAUCAAAGAACAAGUUCAUGGAUUAGUAGCGUUUAUCGGUUCCUAUCAUGCAGAAAUUAAUGUUAUGGGACAAAUAUCAAGAAAUGCAAAUGGUGUGAGGGAAGUUUCUUGGAAACCUCCACAGGGUGACAUUAUUAAAAUUAAUUUUGAUGCAUCAUUUAACCAGGGCACGGGGAAAUCAGUUUCUGGAGUAUUAGCACGAAAUAGAGAAGGUCUAGUAAUGGUUGCUUGUACCUUUCCUUGGGAGAACAUUCCAGAUUCAACGAUGGCGGAAGCAAGGGCGUAUCUGCAAGCAGUUACCAUGGCGGAGGAAAUGGGAUUUCAGGACAUUAUUGUGAAAGGUGAUGCAUUGACCAUAAUCCGAAAGCUAAACUCGGAUGAGGAUGAUAAGUCGAGCAUUUGCAGCCUAAUUAAAGAAAUCAAAGGGAGAGGUCAUAGGUUUAGAAGUUUACGGUUUGAGUACGUACCUCGAGGGGCCAACGAAGCGGCUCACGAAAUGGCGCUAGAAGGAAGACAACACGAAAACCCCCAAUACUGGAUUGAGGAAGCUCCGCUCGCGGUGGUCAGACUGAUUGACCACGAUAGAGGAAGUAUAAUCUAACGGAGUUGAAAUGGCAAAGUCGAGUCCGGACGUUGUGAUAGUAUGUUGGUCCGAAGAACUCGUAAUUUUAACGGAGACUAAGAUUUUAAAAGGUGAUUUUUGUGGGAAGAUUAGUCUCUCAAUCGACUGGUAUCGAUAAGUUUUCUUCAUGCAAAAUGAGAGGAAAGGAUUUCAAGCCUAAGUUUUUUAGUUUUGCUUUUAGUUUUUCUGUCGAUUUAUGUUCUGCGAUCAUAUUUCUGUUUUAUUUUAUUUUGCUUUAAUUAAUUUUUCUUGAAAGUACCGUUGAGGUGGCCAGCUAUUGAUGUAUAGCUGUUAGCAUUUCUUUUUCCUAGGCCUGUAAUUAAAUUAUUAUUUCCUCC